AGCGAACGCUGGCGGCAGGCUUAACACAUGCAAGUCGAACGGGCUUCUUCGGAAGUCAGUGGCAGACGGGUGAGUAACACGGGGGAACGUGCCCUUCGGUUCGGAAUAACUCAGGGAAACUUGAGCUAAUACCGGAUACGCCCUUUUGGGGAAAGGUUGACUGCCGAAGGAUCGGCCCGCGUCUGAUUAGCUUGUUGGUGGGGUAACGGCCUACCAAGGCGACGAUCAGUAGCUGGUCUGAGAGGAUGAUCAGCCACACUGGGACUGAGACACGGCCCAGACUCCUACGGGAGGCAGCAGUGGGGAAUAUUGGACAAUGGGCGCAAGCCUGAUCCAGCCAUGCCGCGUGAGUGAUGAAGGCCUUAGGGUUGUAAAGCUCUUUUGUCCGGGACGAUAAUGACGGUACCGGAAGAAUAAGCCCCGGCUAACUUCGUG
rnacentral:rRNA from 1 species